UUAAAAACCAGAUCGCUUUAUGUAACGCCGCGAUGGAUGCGCAGCCCCCGCGCGCUCCCCCCGCCGCCCCGCACGCUCCACAACGCCGAAAGCGCGGGGCUCCGCGCCCGAGGGGCAGCAACGAGCUCAGUGCGGGGGGAUGCAGGCUAGGCCCGGCGGAGGCCGGUGACGCUGCCCCGGGGAAGCUGCGGCGGGCGCGGAGACCGGGCUGGAGGCGGCGGGGACCGGCCGCGCACAAGGAAAGGAAUGUUUCUUUCAAAGCUACAACUCUGAGGCUUGGAAUCUCAAAAUGACACAUGGGUCUGAUUUGGAAAAGGGCAUGAGAUGAAAUGCCUUUGCUGAUUCUCCAGGUCCUUUUUCUGUUUCUCUGAAUGAAAUACAAACUCAGCAGAACCUCAGUGUUUAACGUUGUAUCUCUCAAAGCCCUUUCCAAUAAACAGAAAUAAGAGUGAUAGACAGGAAAAUAGAAGAACAGUGAGUUGAAAGAGUCUAUUUUAAUACAAUUAUUUUGAAAAACUCUUUAAGUCCUUGUCAGAUGUAUGUCUCUUGCAGGUGGUUCUUUUAUUUAGAGAAAUCUGAUUUUAAAGGAACAGGUCAAGACCUAGUGCAGUAGUACUCCCUCAUGAUGUUACAGUGCAACCAUAAUUUUGCUCAGAAACAAGAAGAAAUAGUGAACAAUCCACGUUGGUUAUGUAUGUGUAUAUAAACAUUUGUCAUAGCUUAUGAGCAGCAAUGCAAAAUAUUUUUAAAUAUAUAAUUCCACAGGACAGAGACUUAAAUGUUUUUCUGAGAUGUGGAGGAAGUUCUAGUUACUGGUUUUGAUGGUUAUCAAAUCUCCCAAGAAAAAAGUGAUAAAUCACAAUUGGUUUGCUCUUAGCCUCAGGCAGUGGGAGACAAAGAGACCUUCUGUUCUGGGGUUUUUUUGAAAGAAAGAGUAGUGUUUUAUAAUCACAGAUUCAUUUAAGUUGGGAAAAACCUUUAGGAUGAUCAAGUCUAACCACAAACCUAACACUGCCAAAUCCACCUCUAAAUUUUAACUUAUGCUGGACUUCAACUCAAAUGGAUGCUACACAGCAGUACUGUCACCCAAAAAAGAGAAAGAUUGUGGCCAAAAUUCCGUGGAGUAGGUGAUAGAAGAGCAGAGGCUUUUAUGGAAAGACAAAGUCAAACUCAUUCUUCUGCCGAGGUGUUUUAAUGCCCUUGUAGAUAAAAAUCUCACCCGAAGUUGUUUAUAACAAGAGGGCUGUGUUUAUUUCCUGAGAAGGGAAUGAGAUCAAAUCUACAUGGUACAGGGAACACCUCUGAAGACUUCAAAUCCUUAAGAUUAUUUUUCUUGGAUGUUUUCACUACAUCUUUUUAAAAAGAAUGCCUUGUACAUGAAAAGCAUCAAGUGACCUUGUUGGUGUCGAUUGUCGUUCUCUUUGUUGUGCUUAAGGAAGUGAAGAAUCUUGCAAAUCAGAAAGGUGUGAAGAACAAAGCAAAAAUGUUAAAAGACAAUCUGCCGUGUUUUUCCUACUUGUAAAUAAGGUGGGAAAUGUCAAAACAAUAUAAACUAACGAUGCUUUUGAUUACUAAUGGAACUAGCAUGGAUUCAUCUCCGAGGUGACCAUUCAUAUGCCUGUUAAUAGUAAAAGUAUCCUUGAUGAGUAUUAUUUGUAUUGUUGAAAUCCUGUUUUUCUUAACUACAAAUUGACAGCAACAGGUUUGCUUCUUACACAUCCCUUAAGUCUCCUGAUGCACAAAUUUGAUGUGGCACAAGCAGUGUAUUACCUCACCUUUUCAGAAAUCACCUUCAGAACUCUGCCAAGUAUUCACUAGGGAGUUCUGCUCUACACCUCACUUUUCCCUCUGUAAAACACAGAAAAAAAUGAGUUACACUUUAAAGGGUGUAUAUGAACCUGGUAAUAAAAAAUCUUUCAACGCUG